rnacentral:tRNA from 1 species
ACCCAAGUGAUGGAAUUGGAAGACAUGCUGAGUUCAGAUCUCAGUCCCAAUAGGCGUGCCGGUUCAAGUCCGGCCUUGGGUACCA